rnacentral:rRNA from 1 species
CAGCCGCCGCGGUAAUACCGGCGGCCCGAGUGGCGGUCACUAUUAUUGGGCUUAAAGCGUCCGUAGCCGGGUUGGGAAGUCCUCCGGGAAAUCUGGCCGCUUAACGGUCAGAAUGCCGGAGGAUACUCCCAGCCUAGGGAGCGGGAGAGGCCGAGGGGAUUCCCGGAGUAGGGGGGAAAUCCUAUAAUCCCGGGAGGACCACCUGUGGCGAAGGCGCUCGGCUAGAACGCGUCCGACGGUGAGGGACGAAGGCCAGGGGAGCAAACCGGAUUAGAUACCCGGGUAGUCCUGGCUGUAAACGAUGCGGACUUUGUGUCGGACAAGCUAUGAGCUUGUCCGGUGCCGGAGGGAAACCGUUAAGUCCGCCGCCUGGGGAGUACGGCCGCAAGGCUGAAACUUAAAGGAAUUGGCGGG